rnacentral:rRNA from 1 species
UUGUUGGUGAGGUAAAGGCUUACCAAGGCUUCGAUCAGUAGCUGGUCUGAGAGGACGGCCAGCCACACUGGGACUGAGACACGGCCCAGACUCCUACGGGAGGCAGCAGUGGGGAAUUUUGGACAAUGGGGGCAACCCUGAUCCAGCCAUGCCGCGUGAGUGAAGAAGGCCUUCGGGUUGUAAAGCUCUUUCAGCCGGAACGAAACGGUUACGAUUAAUACCCGUAACUACUGACGGUACCGGAAGAAGAAGCACCGGCUAACUACGUGCCAGCAGCCGCGGUAAUACGUAGGGUGCGAGCGUUAAUCGGAAUUACUGGGCGUAAAGCGUGCGCAGGUGGUUUUGUAAGUCAGAUGUGAAAUCCCCGGGCUUAACCUGGGAACUGCGUUUGAAACUACAAGGCUAGAGUGUGGCAGAGGGGGGUGGAAUUCCGCGUGUAGCAGUGAAAUGCGUAGAGAUGUGGAGGAACACCGAUGGCGAAGGCAGCCCCCUGGGUCAACACUGACGCUCAGGCACGAAAGCAUGGGGAGCAAACAGGAUUAGAUACCCUGGUAGUCCAUGCCCUAAACGAUGUCAACUAGUUGUCGGGUCUUAACGGGCUUGGUAACGUAGCUAACGCGGGAAGUUGACCGCCUGGGGAGUACGAUCGCAAGAUUAAAACUCAAAGGAAUUGACGGGGACCCGCACAAGCGGUGGAUUAUGUGGAUUAAUUCGAUGCAACGCGAAAAACCUUACCUACCCUUGACAUGUAUUGGAGCCCGCAGAGAUGUGGGUGUGCCCGAAAGGGAACGAUAACACAGGUGCUGCAUGACUGUCGUCAGCUCGUGUCGUGAGAUGUUGGGUUAAGUCCCGCAACGAGCGCAACCCUUGUCAUUAAUUGCCAUCAUUUAGUUGGGCACUUUAAUGAGACUGCCGG